CUCCGUGCCCGCUCCGCUGCCAGCACACGGUGGGGUCCUCCGGCUGCUCCCACCCUUUGGGGUUCUUCAUUUUUUUUUUAUUUUUAUUUUUCUCUCGUAAUUGUUAAGAAAAAUUGAAAACAAAACAAAGCAAGAACAAACAAACAAAAAAACUAAAAUCGCCCGGUUUAUUAAAGAAAGUCUCUACCGGCCCGAGACGCCGCUUCGCGCUGCAAAGCGAAGCCCACUUUUCGUCCUACCGAACGCGACACGUUUUCGGAGGAGCCCUCGCUGGCCGCGCUGCCGCCGGGGCUCAACCGGGACAGGGCGCUGCUUCGCCUCGGGCCGCGUUCCUGGUGAGAGAGCACAUUUAAAACAAACCAAGGAGACCACCACCAGCACCGUCGUGCGGCUCUCGGGUUAACUCCCCCCUAAUGACUGACGGCUGGUGCCACUGAGACAAAUAAAUACAUCGUAAGGAGGGCAAUGGGUCGCGAGUCGUUUUGGCCCUAAGUUCGGACUUGGGUGAAAUGGAAAACGGAAUGAAUAGAACUCGGGAGAGCGAACGAGUUUGAAAAACGCCCUUCAAAAUCCGCGGAAAGGGCCCGAAGUGACAACGAUGGAGAGCUUAAAAAUAACAGUUGCAAAGCAACCCGUCAGAAACAAAAUCCGGAGCGGCGGGGUGAGGCUGAAGGGAGAGCCCCGUGCUCCGAGCGGGGCGGCCGGGAAGCGAGCCCUGCCCGCACAGCGACCCGAAACGGGACCGUGCGCCCUGCCCUGCAAAGCCUUCCUCUCCCUUCUGCACCUUCCCCGAGAAAAGGCUCCGCAUCUCCUCGACCCCUCGGCCAAGGCGGUGUGAGGACCCCCACCUCCACCGCCCCGCUCAUACCUUUUCCAUGGAGAAAGUCCAUGGGAAAAAGCACCGCUGCCUUUUUCUGUCGGGUUUGUUUCCCUGCUCAUUCUAUUUUGCUCUGGAGGCUCACGAGGAAGUAAAGUUGGGAAGGACUUCGGAAAGGAGAGAAGCCGGGGGGAGAGGGGGCUGCCGGGCAGGGAGGGAUCGGGGUGCCCGUGAGGUGGGGGCUCCCCGGCUGCGUUAGAGCUCGACAGGGUCGGCACAGCCCAGCCCGAUGCGAGCGGUUGGAUUGUUGGUGGUUGUUCGGUUUUUGGUUUUGUUGUUGGCUGUUUGUUUGUUUGUUUGUUUCAAUGCUGAGUUAAAUAAGGUCCUUCGCUAGAAAGAGUUUUGGCUGGAUGAGUGGUGGAAAGCUAACUCUAGAGAGAACAACAUGAAGUUCAGCAGGAAUUACUGCCCCGGUGAGCUGUGGUGAGCUACUCCGGCCGAGAGUGAACAACAAUAAAUAAAUAAAUGAAAGAAUGAAAGGAAAAAAAAAAAAAAAGAAAGAAAAAAUAAG
rnacentral:lncRNA from 1 species